CCACUUGUGUGAACUGUUAUUAAGAGAUAUUGAUAACUUGCUAGUUCAUUGUUGACAUCUAUUUUCUGUGCUUUGUAGAGAUGCAAGACAGCAAAAUACAGGAAUCAGUCCCUGAAAUGAAUGGUGAAUGUUUGUGGCCACACGCUAUGUGAGAGCUGUGUGGACAUGCUUGUGAGAGCUGUGUGGACAUGCUGUUUGUGAGUGGCUCGAGGAACUGUGUGCAGUGUGGCACGCCCCCGAGGAAGAGUAACUUCCGCAUGCAGCUCUUCAAAGACCCAGCCAUCGACAAGGAGGUGGAGAUCCGCAAGAAGUUAGAACGAGAGACUUUGACUUCUCCAGCCUGAGAGAAUACAAUGACUAUUUGGAGCAAGUGGAGGAGAUCGGUUGUGCCGAAUCCGAUUUCCAGUAUCUGCCCUAGAUCAAUUGAAGGGAAGUCUGUGCUAGUGUCUUGGAGGGCUGCCCUGCACUCUGCUCCAGUCUAUAACCUGACCAACAACCUUGAGGUGGAGGGCACCAAACACAUCAUGGAGGCGUACCAGAGAGAGAAUAGAGACAUCAUCCAGAAGAACAAGGCCAAGCUGAUGCGAGAGCAGGAGGAGCUGCUGUCGUUGGAGGAGCUGUUGUUGGAGGACAUGCUGUUGGAGGAGCUGCUGUUGUUGGAGGAUUAGGGGAACGAGUAUCGCAGGCUGGAGGAUCUGCAGGAGGAACAGAGACAGCUACAGGCCAAGAGGAAGAGCAAGCAGGCUCUACUAGAUAAACUGGGUCAGACUGUGUCGUUGCAGCCGUGUCCUGUAUAGAGGAUAUUCUGUACUGCUACCAGCCCAUCAAUAGCCACACCUACAGAACCCCCGUGCCUGAGCUGGAGCAGCUGGGACGUCUUGGGUAUCUGAACCACGUGCGCAUUACCCAGCCCCAGGACAUGGUUGGAGGAUACAACUCAGGACUUGUGUGUCAUUGAGCCAUCCAGGAUGCCGUUACUGGACUGACCCAGAAACUCAGAAAUAUGAAGCUGUCAAUUAUCACAGGAUUCAAAUUACCCCCCUGUUUUACAUUGUGGAGGGAGCUAUGGACAGUGUACUUCGGUCUGAAGUCAGAUCAGGAUGUAUAUGUUGCCAUUUUUGUAUAAUCUUAUUUUUUUAUUAAAAAAACAAAAACACAAUGAAGCUCAUUGUUGGAUAAGAAAACUAUUGAAACAAUGCCUAUUUGUGGGACCUGGAUAAUGGACCAGUAUUUCAAAUACAGUCAACACAUACCUGUUUAUGUUCUUUUUAGGUCAAGGCAUAACCAUGAUUUAGAUCAUGUCAGCCUUAUUGACACUAUUAUAAAAUAACAUGAACAGAGUUCAAAGAUCAAAAAUAAAAUAUACAAUUCAAGGUCUCAGAAUGAGCUCCUUGGUCAAAUAUAUUCAAUUUGUUGUCUCCUCACACUUUUGUCUCUUUGGUGCUGGUUCUUCUAUGGCUUCUGAGGAGAGGACAAAUGGUAUUAGUAUUUUCAGUCUACAGUCUUUCAGAGAGUGCAUGUGUGUUGUACUGUUUAGGGUUGGGGCCAAUUCAAAUUAAAUGUGACAUUUCAAAU